rnacentral:tRNA from 1 species
GGAGAGGUGACAGAGCGGCCGAUUGUGCAGCACUGGAAAUGCUGUGUCUGGGAAACCAGACCGGGGGUUCGAAUCCCCCCCUCUCCG